rnacentral:rRNA from 1 species
ACGCUCGACACCUACUGGAGGCAGCAGUGGGGAAUAUUGCACAAUGGGGGGAACCCUGAUGCAGCGACGCCGCGUGAGUGAAGAAGUACUUCGGUAUGUAAAGCCCUAUCAGCAGGGAAGAAAAUGACGGUACCUGACUAAGAAGCCCCGGCUAACUACGUGCCAGCAGCCGCGGUAAUCUGAGCGGCUGGCAAGGC